rnacentral:rRNA from 1 species
AUACGGAGGGGGUUAGCGUUGUUCGGAAUUACUGGGCGUAAAGCGCACGUAGGCGGACUGGAAAGUUGGGGGUGAAAUCCCGGGGCUCAACCCCGGAACUGCCUCCAAAACUUCCAAUCUAGAGAUCGAGAGAGGUGAGUGGAAUUCCAAGUGUAGAGGUGAAAUUCGUAGAUAUUUGGAGGAACACCAGUGGCGAAGGCGGCUCACUGGCUCGAUACUGACGCUGAGGUGCGAAAGCGUGGGGAGCAAACAGGAUUAGAUACCCUAGUAGUCC